GAAUCUUUCAACGAGCUCUUUCAUCUGUAUUGGCAAAGAAGUUAAGCAAAUAACUAUAGAAAGUGGUUAAAAAAUGAGCCUAAGGCUUUCAAACUAAGCAUCCAGGGCUGUUUCAGAGUUCCAGGUUCAGGAACAACACCAACACCUCCUACAACUUCAGCUUCAACUGUUACAGCCACUACACCAACAAUACCAUGGUUUAGCACAACGACGCCAGCAUCAACUUCAAGUAAAACUACAACAACAAAAAUUACUUCAACAACACCUUCAACAACAACGUUAUCAACAUCUGAAACUAC